CAGAGAAUAGUUUAGUUUGAGAAUAUCAGCUUUGGGAGUUGAUGGUGAAGGUUCGAGUCCUUUUUCUCUGA
rnacentral:tRNA from 1 species